GUUUUAAUAGUUUAUAUUGCAAAACCUUGGUCUUGUAAACCAAAAUUGAGUCUUUCUCUUAAAACU
rnacentral:tRNA from 1 species